AAUCGGGAAGCCGCUUUAUUUCGAGGUGUCACGUGACUCGAGAGGUGUUCCUGGUAAAGUGAUUGGAAUAUUUUGAUGUGUUGAUGAUGUUAUAAUUAGGUGUUGGUGGGUUCCUAAGAUUCCAAUCACAGAAUGAAGUAAAAAGCAGCCAUGACAGAUUUAAAUGAAUAUGAACUGCUCAAGAGGGCCGAGAAGGAAAGGGCAGAGAUUGUGGCCAAGUAUGACAAGGUAAGACAUGAAAUUCAGUAAAAAAAA